AGUUCUACGCGGGCGUGGUCGAGUGGCACGAUGACAAGUACUUCAAGCUGGUGUCCUCGGGUGGGCCAAGCGGAGCCAGGCUGGGACGUCGAGUUCGAGUUCAAGUCGACUACGCCGGGCGCCCAAACCUUCAGUCAUAGCGCGGUCAUGAAUGGGGCAGACACGUGUGGUGGCGGCGGCGUGGUGACCCAACCCCCCAUGGAAAGCCCCUGUGACCCACAGGCAUGACACCCUAUGACUACGGACAG